UUUUGCAAUGUGGUUUUCUUUUGUUCAUUAAAAUUUCUCCAAUUUUCAGAUCUACACCACCAGAGCCAAGCGCGGUGGUUAACGAUUCAUCGGCGAUCAUAUUUUCUCAUCCUAUCAUUCUUAUGUUUCUUUGCAAGCAAAUCUGAAAAUGUAUUUUGAUUUGGAAAAUCUGAACGUUUCUUUAUUCUUUGCAAGAAAAUCUAAAAUCUGAUUAUCCUCUCA
rnacentral:lncRNA from 1 species